GCCACCAUCAGGUGGCCGCAGAGAAUAGGCCCCAGCGACUGUUUACCAAAAACAUAGGUUUCUGCUAAGUCGAAAGACGACGUAUAGGAGCUGACGCCUGCCCGGUGCUGGAAGGUCAAGGGGUACUGUUAGGUCAAUCGAAGAAGAGAAGUUAAGCACAAGUAAACGGCGGCCGUAACUAUAACGGAUCGAAGGUAGCGAAAUUCCUUGUCGGGUAAGUUCCGACCCGCACGAAAGGCGUAACGAUUUGGGCACCGUCCCAACAACAUACUCGGUGAAAUUGUAAUUCCGGUGAAGAUGCCGGAUACCAGCGACAGGACGGACAGACCCCAUGGAGCUUUACUGUAGCUUGACAUUGGGUCUUGGUACUACAUGUACAGGAUAGGU
rnacentral:rRNA from 1 species